CAGGCUUAACACAUGCAAGUCGAGGGGCAGCAUGGUCUUAGCUUGCUAAGGCCGAUGGCGACCGGCGCACGGGUGAGUAACACGUAUCCAACCUGCCGUCUACUCUUGGACAGCCUUCUGAAAGGAAGAUUAAUACAAGAUGGCAUCAUGAGUCCGCAUGUUCACAUGAUUAAAGGUAUUCCGGUAGACGAUGGGGAUGCGUUCCAUUAGAUAGUAGGCGGGGUAACGGCCCACCUAGUCUUCGAUGGAUAGGGGUUCUGAGAGGAAGGUCCCCCACAUUGGAACUGAGACACGGUCCAAACUCCUACGGGAGGCAGCAGUGAGGAAUAUUGGUCAAUGGGCGAGAGCCUGAACCAGCCAAGUAGCGUGAAGGAUGACUGCCCUAUGGGUUGUAAACUUCUUUUAUAAAGGAAUAAAGUCGGGUAUGGAUACCCGUUUGCAUGUACUUUAUGAAUAAGGAUCGGCUAACUCCGUGCCAGCAGCCGCGGUAAUACGGAGGAUCCGAGCGUUAUCCGGAUUUAUUGGGUUUAAAGGGAGCGUAGAUGGAUGUUUAAGUCAGUUGUGAAAGUUUGCGGCUCAACCGUAAAAUUGCAGUUGAUACUGGAUAUCUUGAGUGCAGUUGAGGCAGGCGGAAUUCGUGGUGUAGCGGUGAAAUGCUUAGAUAUCACGAAGAACUCCGAUUGCGAAGGCAGCCUGCUAAGCUGCAACUGACAUUGAGGCUCGAAAGUGUGGGUAUCAAACAGGAUUAGAUACCCUGGUAGUCCACACGGUAAACGAUGAAUACUCGCUGUUUGCGAUAUACUGCAAGCGGCCAAGCGAAAGCGUUAAGUAUUCCACCUGGGGAGUACGCCGGCAACGGUGAAACUCAAAGGAAUUGACGGGGGCCCGCACAAGCGGAGGAACAUGUGGUUUAAUUCGAUGAUACGCGAGGAACCUUACCCGGGCUUAAAUUGCAGAUGAAUUACGGUGAAAGCCGUAAGCCGCAAGGCAUCUGUGAAGGUGCUGCAUGGUUGUCGUCAGCUCGUGCCGUGAGGUGUCGGCUUAAGUGCCAUAACGAGCGCAACCCUUGUUGUCAGUUACUAACAGGUUCCGCUGAGGACUCUGACAAGACUGCCAUCGUAAGAUGUGAGGAAGGUGGGGAUGACGUCAAAUCAGCACGGCCCUUACGUCCGGGGCUACACACGUGUUACAAUGGGGGGUACAGAGGGCCGCUACCACGCGAGUGGAUGCCAAUCCCCAAAACCUCUCUCAGUUCGGACUGGAGUCUGCAACCCGACUCCACGAAGCUGGAUUCGCUAGUAAUCGCGCAUCAGCCACGGCGCGGUGAAUACGUUCCCGGGCCUUGUACACACCGCCCGUCAAGCCGUGGGAGCCGGGGGUACCUGAAGUGCGUAACCGCGAGGAGCGCCCUAGGGUAAAACUGGUGACUGGG
rnacentral:rRNA from 1 species